UCCGAGAUAGUAUAGUGGCCAGUAUUUCCGCCUGUCACGCGGAAGACCCGGGUUCAAUUCCCGGUCUCGGAG
rfam:Plasmodium yoelii yoelii 17XNL contig MALPY00342, whole genome shotgun sequence.